AUUGAACGCUGGCGGCAGGCCUAACACAUGCAAGUCGAGCGGAUGAAGGGAGCUUGCUCCUGGAUUCAGCGGCGGACGGGUGAGUAAUGCCUAGGAAUCUGCCUGGUAGUGGGGGAUAACGUCCGGAAACGGGCGCUAAUACCGCAUACGUCCUGAGGGAGAAAGUGGGGGAUCUUCGGACCUCACGCUAUCAGAUGAGCCUAGGUCGGAUUAGCUAGUUGGUGGGGUAAAGGCCUACCAAGGCGACGAUCCGUAACUGGUCUGAGAGGACGAUCAGUCACGCGGGAACUAAGCCACGGCCCAGCCCCCUACGGGGGGCAGGAGUGGGGAAUUUGGAAAAAGGGGGGAAAGCCUGAUCCAGCCAGGCCGCGGGUGGGAAGAAGGUCUUGGGAUUGAAAAGCUCUUUAAGGUGGGAGGAAGGGCAGAAAGUUAAUACCUUGCUUUUUUAACGUUACCAAAAAAAAAACCCCCGCCUAACUUGUU
rnacentral:rRNA from 1 species